rnacentral:rRNA from 1 species
CCUACGGGUGGCAGCAGUGAGGAAUAUUGGUCAAUGGUCGGGAGACUGAACCAGCCAAGCCGCGUGAGGGAUGAAGGUACAGAGUAUCGUAAACCUCUUUUGUCAGGGAACAAAGGCGGGGACGCGUCCCCGGAUGAGUGUACCUGAAGAAAAAGCAUCGGCUAACUCCGUGCCAGCAGCCGCGGUAAUACGGAGGAUGCGAGCGUUAUCCGGAUUUAUUGGGUUUAAAGGGUGCGCAGGCGGUCUGUUAAGUCAGCGGUCAAAGCCCGGGGCUCAACCCCGGCCCGCCGUUGAAACUGGCAGUCUCGAGUUGGAGAGAAGUAUGCGGAAUGCGCGGUGUAGCGGUGAAAUGCAUAGAUAUCAGGAGGAACACCGGCGGCGAAGGCGGCCUGCUGGACUGAAACUGACGUUGAGGCUCGAAAGCGUGGGGAGCAAACAGGAUUAGAUACCCGGGUAGUC